UCACUCUGGUUUCUCUUUAUAACACACAAGUCUUUUGCCUUUACUAAAGACUUCCUUGGAGGGGACCGGUGAUGAGUUGAAACUAUUUUUGGUGGGGUUUUGCUGUUUGGCCGA